UACAGUGGAUACAGUGGAUACAGUGGA
rnacentral:sRNA from 1 species